GUGGGGAAUAUUGCACAAUGGGGGAAACCCUGAUGCAGCGACGCCGCGUGAGUGAAGAAGUAUUUCGGUAUGUAAAGCUCUAUCAGCAGGGAAGAAGAUGACGGUACCUGAGUAAGAAGCCCCGGCUAACUACGUGCCAGCAGCCGCGGUAAUACGUAGGGGGCAAGCGUUAUCCGGAUUUACUGGGUGUAAAGGGAGCGUAGACGGAUAAGCAAGUCUGAAGUGAAAGCCCGCGGCUUAACUGCGGGACUGCUUUGGAAACUGUAUAGCUGGAGUGUCGGAGAGGUAAGCGGAAUUCCCAGUGUAGCGGUGAAAUGCGUAGAUAUUGGGAAGAACACCGGUGGCGAAGGCGGCUUACUGGACGAUAACUGACGUUGAGGCUCGAAGGCGUGGGGAGCAAACAGGAUUAGAAACCCCUGUAGUCC
rnacentral:rRNA from 1 species